AACGCACCUUGCGCUCCUUGGUAUUCCGAGGAGCAUGCCUGUUUGAGUGUCAUAUAAUUCUCAACCUUAUUAGCUUUUGCUGAUUAAUGGCUUGGAUGUGGGGGUUCUCUUUUGCCGGCUUCUUCAGAGGUCAGCUCCCCUUAAAUGCAUUAGCUGGUGCCCCGCGUGGACUGUCUAUUUGGUGUGAUAAUUAUCUACGCCGUGGAUGUCUGCAAUGGGUUGUGCACUGCUUAUAACUGUCCGUUCAUAUGGACAAUACAUGACAAUUUGACCUCAAAUCAGGUAGGACUACCCGCUGAACUUAA
rnacentral:misc_RNA from 1 species